GAGUUUUUUAAACUCCCAACCCAUGUGAACUUACCAUUGUUGCCUCGGCAGAAGCUACCUGGUUACCUUACCUUGGAACGGCCUACCCUGUAGCGCCUUACCCUGGAACGGCCUACCCUGUAACGGCUGCCGGUGGACUACCAAACUCUUGUUAUUUUAUUGUAAUCUGAGCGUCUUAUUUUAAUAAAGUCAAAACUUUCCAACAACGGAUCUCUUGGUUCCUGGCAUCGAUGAAGAACGCAAGCGAAAUGCGAUAAGUAAUGUGAAUUGCAGAAUUCAGUGGAAUCAUCGAAUCUUUGAACGCACAUUGCGCCCAUUAAGUAUUCUAGUGGGCAGUGCCUGUUCGAGCGUCAUUUCAACCCUUAAGCCUAGCUUAGUGUUGGGAGCCUACUGCUUUUGCUAGCGGUAGCUCCUGGAAAUACAACGGCGGAUCUGCGAUAUCCUCUGAGCGUAGUAAUUUUUAUCUCGCUUUUGACUGGAGUUGCAGCGUCUUUAGCCGCUAAACCCCCCAAUUUUUAAAUGGUUGACCUCGGAUCAGUAGGAAUACCCGCUGAACUUA
rnacentral:rRNA from 1 species